GAUCAUGGCUCAGGAUGAACGCUGGCGGCGUGCUUAACACAUGCAAGUCGAACGAGAGAAGAUUGGUGCUUGCACUGAUCCGAUCGAGUGGCGGACGGGUGAGUAACGCGUGGGUAACCUGCCUCAUACAGGGGAAUAACAGUUGGAAACGGCUGCUAAAACCGCAUAAGCGCACGGUAUCGCAUGAUACAGUGUAGAAAACUCCGGUGGUAUGAGAUGGACCCGCGU
rnacentral:rRNA from 1 species